CCUGGCUCAGGAUGAACGCUAGCGACAGGCUUAACACAUGCAAGUCGAGGGGCAGCACAGGUAGCAAUACCGGGUGGCGACCGGCGCACGGGUGAGUAACGCGUAUGCAACUUGCCUAUCAGAGGGGGAUAACCCGGCGAAAGUCGGACUAAUACCGCAUGAAGCAGGGAUCCCGCAUGGGAAUAUUUGCUAAAGAUUCAUCGCUGAUAGAUAGGCAUGCGUUCCAUUAGGCAGUUGGCGGGGUAACGGCCCACCAAACCGACGAUGGAUAGGGGUUCUGAGAGGAAGGUCCCCCACAUUGGUACUGAGACACGGACCAAACUCCUACGGGAGGCAGCAGUGAGGAAUAUUGGUCAAUGGCCGAGAGGCUGAACCAGCCAAGUCGCGUGAGGGAUGAAGGUUCUAUGGAUCGUAAACCUCUUUUAUAAGGGAAUAAAGUGCGGGACGUGUCCCGUUUUGUAUGUACCUUAUGAAUAAGGAUCGGCUAACUCCGUGCCAGCAGCCGCGGUAAUACGGAGGAUCCGAGCGUUAUCCGGAUUUAUUGGGUUUAAAGGGUGCGUAGGCGGCCUUUUAAGUCAGCGGUGAAAGUCUGUGGCUCAACCAUAGAAUUGCCGUUGAAACUGGGGGGCUUGAGUAUGUUUGAGGCAGGCGGAAUGCGUGGUGUAGCGGUGAAAUGCAUAGAUAUCACGCAGAACCCCGAUUGCGAAGGCAGCCUGCCAAGCCAUUACUGACGCUGAUGCACGAAAGCGUGGGGAUCAAACAGGAUUAGAUACCCUGGUAGUCCACGCAGUAAACGAUGAUCACUAGCUGUUUGCGAUACACUGUAAGCGGCACAGCGAAAGCGUUAAGUGAUCCACCUGGGGAGUACGCCGGCAACGGUGAAACUCAAAGGAAUUGACGGGGGCCCGCACAAGCGGAGGAACAUGUGGUUUAAUUCGAUGAUACGCGAGGAACCUUACCCGGGUUUGAACGCAUUCGGACCGAGGUGGAAACACCUUUUCUAGCAAUAGCCGUUUGCGAGGUGCUGCAUGGUUGUCGUCAGCUCGUGCCGUGAGGUGUCGGCUUAAGUGCCAUAACGAGCGCAACCCUUGCCACUAGUUACUAACAGGUGAUGCUGAGGACUCUGGUGGGACUGCCAGCGUAAGCUGCGAGGAAGGCGGGGAUGACGUCAAAUCAGCACGGCCCUUACAUCCGGGGCGACACACGUGUUACAAUGGCGUGGACAAAGGGAGGCCACCUGGCGACAGGGAGCGAAUCCCCAAACCACGUCUCAGUUCGGAUCAGAGUCUGCAACCCGACUCCGUGAAGCUGGAUUCGCUAGUAAUCGCGCAUCAGCCAUGGCGCGGUGAAUACGUUCCCGGGCCUUGUACACAC
rnacentral:rRNA from 1 species